GGUCCCUACCGGCACAUCACACACUCCUGGAAGCAUGAUCUUCACUCCCUUCCUUCCACCUGCUGACCUGUCUGUCUUUCAGAAUGUGAAAGGGCUGCAAAACGACCCUGAGGAAUGGGUGGCUGUGUCUGACGCCACGGAGGACCCAUCCGGUGGCACAGGCUUGCCCAGGGAACCUGCUCUUCUGCGAGGGUCUUGGAGGAGCCGGUUCCAGAGAGCCCUGGCAUGUUUCACCAAGUGUUUCAGGGGAGGAUACCGGGCACUCGGAAUCUGAGACCACCGGAGCCACAGACACAGAGCCAUGAACGGUGACCAAGCCCCUUCUGCUGCUCCAUGCCCCUGCUCGCCGCAGUGUCCCAGUCACCAGGCCUGAAAUAAAUG
rnacentral:lncRNA from 1 species